GUCUGCUUCACUUCCCAUUUGGAGGGAAAUGCGGAAUGAUCAAACUCAAACGUGGUAAUGUUCGUAGGACACGAUAUUAGCUUUAAACUUGGACGGCAUUUUCUCUCUGCAUAUGGCUAUGUGUGUGGUUCGUACCACGUGUUACGGAAGCCAACUUUUAGUUUUCCCCACAAUCGCGACCUCUUCAAAGAAGAAAAAUUUUGGUCCCAAAUCCUUUGAGUCUAUACUGGUGUGAUGAGGCUCAUUAUACAGCUAAUCAAAGUUGCCAAAAGCAGGAUGAACCCGCUUCUUAGCCUGAUUUGGAUUGCCAUGAGCAUCCUAUCUCAGAGAUGGGAGGACGAAAAGUCGUUAUAUGCCCGCGAAUACUUUAUACGACCGCCGUAGAAAGAAGAACGUGUACCGUAAUAUUUCAAGCCUCACUUCCGAGCUUGAAGAGUUAAGCCUCAAGGGCUUCGAAAGUGAAUGCCUCACGAUGGCCAAGCAUUUCAACGGGUAAAACAGGAAAACCCGGCAGUGAAGCUUUAUUCGGAUUAGAGUUGAUCUUGAAGCAGUGGAAAGAAAGUUUCUAGGCAGACUCGCAUCGUCGUCAUCGUCGUCCAACGUAUAAUUCAGAAAGAAAAAACGAAGCUGCUUGGGUGUGUAUGGUACAACUGUAUAUAGAUCUCACCUUACCAGCCUGCCCGACCGCGCAGUGCAUAAAUUACGAAGCUCAGAGUCAAUCCAUCAUGGGACAAAAGGCAUGGGAUCUUCUGUGCCAGUCGCAGAGUCACCCAGGUCUCUCGUAACGUGUCCCGCCCCAAUAAGGUCAAGAAAAUAAAAUAGCUGUUUUUGUCUCUCCUCCUUUCUCUUUCUCAUCCGUUGCAUCUCUGAUGAACGACAAAAGGAGCCAGCAGCAGUUUGAGAAGUAGACGAAAAGCUUUUUGACUCCCGAGGAAAAUAUUUCGCCCCACCUUCCCCUCUGGCACGAGGUAAUGAGCAUGGUAAUCUGUUAGAUGAGGAAAAUAGGGCCUUCAAAACUACCCUGUUCACAGUCAUCAUCAAUCUGGAGAUGAUUGGAUUCGAUGAGACGAGGAUUUCUUUCAACAACGAAAGGCAAAAGCUUCAAUUUUAAUCCGACAAGAGUCGUGAGCUAAAGCUUCCACUGUCAUCAGCUUAAAUCCGACUUUCACUCUGUAGCUCUACGGAUUUAAAGCCCAGAUGUUGGCCGUUACAUAUAGAGCAAGAGAUUCUAUUGGUCUCGUACGGAAGAGAAUAAAUCGACUUAUUGCGUCGUGAAUGGCGCCUCUGAUUGAGUCGCUAUUGCAACCGCUCCUCGUCGUCGACUUACACGAAUAGACGGCCAAUCAUUCUGGCAACCUAGUAUAUUGGAUCACUUUCAAUUCCCUGUAAUCAGCGUGUACAACGAGAAACUCCACAACAUUGAAACUUAUCGCCGACUUUCAUGGCUCUUGCUGCCACGUGAAAAAUUCCUCGGCUCCUUGAUGCAUCGGAAAAAAACGUAGGAAAAACGACCACCCAACUCAACCCGUCGAGUCUGGUGCCCUAAGGUGAUGGACCGCGUGAAUGUGACACCAAGACAUCAAGAAUUUUCGUGAUCUGGCGCGGGGUCAUGUCUAUACCAAAGGAGAAAAAAUUGAUGGAAAUCAUUGGGCGCUCUCUAUUGCGCCGGAAGGGAACGCCACAAUAACAUGACGUCUCUUUUUUUUUGGAGCCCAGGAAAGAAAAAGCUGUCGACUUCUUCUAUUCCGAACAAAAAAAAAAAAAAAUGUUUUAGUUUGUUGUUCUGGAGCGAUUGGAAUCAUCACCAGUGAAAAAGAAAAGCAUCGCAACUGUUCGACAACCAAUAACUUUCGUGGCCGUGUUUGUGGAGACUCGAAACCAGUUCCGGAGCAAUUGUUUUCUACUUUCGUUCGUCCUUCACGAAAGAUUUGAUCCGGGAGAAAGAAACAAAACAAAAUCAACGAAUCAAGUGGGUCGCAUGAUGGCCGGACGCAGCCGCGUGGUCCGCUCCAUCCUCGUUGUCUACCUGUUUCUGCUGUCCACCGGACAUCCGGUGGAAUCGAAAGCUGAACACUCGACGAAAGAGCACUCGAAAAUUCGCCAAUUAAGCGGAAAUCAAUACCAGAGCCAAUACGGUAUCGUUCAGCCAGAAAGUUCUUCCAAUCAUCGAACCAAUUCGACUGUUAGUCGCCAUCUAUUUGCAUGGAGCGAAAUGGCCGUUGAAUCAUCCGACAAGUUGCCGCCCGCCACUUUAGCGUCGUCCAGCAUCUCCGAAACGGCCAGGUCGUCCGUAACUCGUGGCCGGAAGAAAGCCAAUGUUCCACAACGGAGGCAGCUUCAAUUGAGGCAGAAGAAAGCGCAGCAAGUGAAGAGAAAUAGCAAGAAAGUUGGCAGCUCUAACUUGAAACCCGUAAGCUCGUUGAAAAAGAGUUUGGAUGACGAAGAAGAGGAACAAGAAGAAGAAGAGGAAGAGGAAGAAGAAGGCGAUGAAGAAGAGGGUGGAGACGAAGAAGAAGGCGAAGAAGAGGAAGACGAAGAAGGUGGCGAAGAGGAAGGCGAAGAGUCGGACGUUGAAGAAGACAAUGAAGAUCCUGACGCGGAAGAAGACGAUGAAACUAAUCGGCGAAUCAGCAAACCGACAACUACAACUACAACAACAACAACGCCAUUGAUCCCCACUGCGUCAGCUGAAGUUGGACAGGAUUUUAUCGACCAUUCGUCUGAAUCCAACGGUGCCGAUAACCGCCAAGAAGCGGAAGGAAAACCAGCAGCGACAUCUUCCGUUUCUCGUGAGCCCGAAACAAACGACAGAGAAGACACGAGGACUGAGCGGCCGCCGGCCAAUCGGACGGAUGUCGUCGAGAACAAAGCGCUAGACGGGAAUGCAGCCAACGGAAGGGAUGACGUCAAAGUAGACCUAAUAUCCGGAUCUUUAGACGGUGACGUCAGCCCGUCACAUGCUAAUCAGACGCAUGUUGGCAACGCUGAGAAAUCAGAAGAUGAAAGAGCCAAAGGCGAUCAAUCUGGAAAUGGAAACAUCGAACUGUCACCAGCCGAAAAUCAGUCGGCGCCAUCUCCUCGAUUCGAUAAUGAAAUCGAUUGGCGUGAACAUGACGGUCGCAAGGAUGCGGCCAUCGGUCUUUCUAACGUCAUCAACGAAGAGAAAUUACAAGCCGUGCUGCAGCCAUCGAAAAUUGAAUCGGCAUCAUCGGAGGAGGAGGAGGAGGACGAACAUGAAGAAGCCAAUGAAAUCCGAGCUCAAGUCCAGCCCGGAAUCAAACCGUCGUCGUCCGUCUCUUCGAACGCGGUCGACGCUGAUGACGGAUCCAAUGAUAUUAAAGUUGAUUCAUCUGAAAAGGCCGUCAAAGGAGGCCGCGAUGAAUCCUUCCGCGCGGAAGAAGACGAUAGUGAAGAGGACGAAACAAACUUUCUACCGAUGGGCCAUUCUAGUGGCACUAAUAAAAACAAGCCGGCGUCUAACGAACCGCUGGCCGGCCGAGCGAUAACAGACAGCGGAGUAGCCGGUUCGGGUGAUGAAGAAGACGAAACGAACGACAUCCUGCCAGAUCGUUUGGCCUCCAACGUGCCAGACGAUGCGAGCAAAACAUCUGUUUCGUCGGUGAACGAGCUGGACGAAGACGAGGAAGAGGAAGACGCGGUGGAUAACGAAAUUGAGACGAUCGUCCCGUCCGAAUCCUUCAAUCAACCGGACCAUAAUAGGUUCCUUCACGGACAGACCAAUUUCAAUGCAGCCGUAUUAGAUACGUCGUGUGGACCGUUCACUUCGUUGCCCGUCAUUCCAAACGCGGUCGUCGCCAAAUACGGCAGGACCCGAUGGCCUUCGCCGCCCUUCAAUCUGCUGGCCGAGGUGAUUUUCGAAUGUCAAGACACGGACGUCUACCAGCUGGAUCCGACGCUACCCGAUCGCCUUUUCUGUUCCAAUCAGGAGUGGAUCGGACAACACCCGAAAUGUGUCACCAUCAAUCGCCAACAGCAGCCGCACUUUGCAGUGACAGACGGAGCCAGCGGUAAUGAUGAAGAGAAGGAGCUAGUGAUUCCACUUACGUCAUCGAUAUCGUCAAAUGGAGUCAACGUCAGCUCGACCGCUGGCCAACAAAUUAAUGAACGGAGUUGUUCCAACGAGGAUCGUGGAGGCUGCGAGCACGUCUGCUCUCAGUCUGCCGAGCCGGACUCAAUUCGUUGCUUAUGCUACAGAGGCUUCCGGCUGAAUGCGGACGGGAAAAGCUGCGUCGAUAUCGAUGAAUGUGAAACGGGCAACGGUGGGUGUGACGACAAAUGUUCCAAUCUGCCGGGCAGCUUUAUCUGUUCUUGUCCUGUCGGUUUCCGGCUAGCGUCCAACGGCAAGAAAUGCAUCGAUGUUAAUGAAUGCUCGUUGCGCAAUGGUCACGGCCCGUGCCAGGGCGCCUGUCACAACACUCACGGCUCCUACCAUUGCAGCUGCGAGGAUAUGCCAGGAACUCAAUUGGCAGCUGAUGGACAUUUGUGCGAAGAUAUUGACGAGUGCCGGACGGACAAUGGCGGCUGUUCACACUCGUGUCUCAACACGCUCGGCACUGCUUAUUGCGCUUGUCCCGAAGGCUACAUGUUGGCAGAUGACUGGAAAACGUGUGAAGAUAUCGACGAAUGUGAUUACAGUUCAGAUGAUGAUGAUUCGGAUCGAUUAUGUCCUGGCAUUUGCCGCAAUAGUAUCGGAUCCUAUGUGUGCGUCGAUCCGGAUGAAGAAUCAGUUCUUUGUCCACCUGGAUAUGAUGAUGAAGAUGAAGAUGGCCAUUGCCAUGAUAUUGAUGAGUGUUCCUUGUCGAACGGUGGAUGCUCGCAUAUUUGCACCAAUACCGAAGGCGCUCAUCGAUGCGAAUGUCCAUCCGGUCUCUUUAUUGAAGCGGACAACAAAACUUGCAAAGAUAUCGACGAAUGCGCUUCCGAUAACGGUGGAUGCUCCCACACCUGUGUCAACAUGCCCAGCAGUUACAAAUGCACCUGCCCUGAAGGUUACACCUUAGGUGAAGACUGGACAACGUGUCAAGACAUUGACGAAUGCGCUGAAUCUAAUCUGGCAACGUGUGGCAUCGUUGGCACUUGUUUCAACGUAAUAGGCUCUUUUCGAUGCCUCUGCCCGUCCGGUUACAAGGAAAACGACAUGGGCUGUGACGAUAUCGAUGAAUGUUUGAUGGAUCCUUGCGGAUCGGGCAAGUGCAUCAACAAAAUGGGGUCAUAUACCUGCGCGUGUCACGAAGGUUUUCGAUUUGAUAACCAGACAUGCCAAGAUAUCGAUGAAUGUAAAGAGAAUGUUCCGUGUCUCGAUGGCAUUUGCGAAAACACGGUCGGAUCCUUCACUUGCUCUUGCAAGUCCGGUUAUUACCUGGAAAACAAUACUUGCUUUGAUGUCGACGAAUGCACCAAUUCACCUUGUAUUGAUGGCACCUGCAUCAAUCAACCUGGCUCUUAUUUGUGCCUGUGCGAGCCAGGAUUUACGUUGGAACGGAACGUUUGCAUCGAUUUUGAUGAGUGUCUCAUUUCGCCCUGCAUUAACGCCACUUGCGUCAAUCAGAUCGGCAGUUACCGGUGCGAAUGUCCGGACGGCUACCUCUCUCGCAACAACUCCUGUUUUGACGUGGACGAGUGCCAAUCCAAUCCUUGUGUUAAUGGCCAAUGCAUCAACACGGACGGAAGCUACUGGUGCCGCUGUCUGGAUGGUUUCAAAGCUCUUGGAAAUAUUUGUUUAGAUAUCGACGAAUGCGAAACCGCACCGUGUGUCAAUGGCGAAUGUAUCAACACACAGGGAUCCUAUCAGUGCGAAUGUCAUCCCGGAUUUUAUCUUGAGGAUGAUUCUUGUUUUGAUGUCGACGAGUGUCAAGCCAAUCCAUGCGCCAACGGCACUUGCGUUAACCUGCUGGGCUCUUACCAGUGCAAUUGUCCACCUGGACACAUUUUGGUGGAUUCCCGGGUUUGUUUAGAUGUCAACGAGUGUGCCACAAAUAACGGGCAAUGCGAUCAGAAAUGUAUCAACACCCCCGGCUCCUAUUAUUGCGCGUGCGAUAAGGGCUUCUAUCUAGAUCCUGAGGAUAAACAACAGUGUCUGGAUGUGGACGAAUGCGACGUCAACAACGGCGGAUGCAGCCAAGUGUGCCUGAAUCGACCGGGCAAUUUCAGCUGCGAGUGCCGUACUGGAUACAUUCUUUCGAACGAUAAAUCCAGCUGCCUGGAAAUCGUGUCGGCCGUCACGCAUUAUUGUCCAGUCAUCGAGCCACCACCUGGCGGAUACCUGCACUGCUCGAGUCGGCCUGGUAUUGAAGGUUACAAACCGGGAAGCACGUGCACUUUGCGCUGUCGCAAAGGCUACGCUUUCCGUCGACACAAACCCCAAUUGACGUGGCAGGCCAACCAGGUGCUCAACAAACCUGCCCUUCUCCUCGAGGAAAAGAGCAACAUGCUGUCCGGUCGGCAAUCGAACGCCGGAUUGGCCAUGCUCCAAGGCUGGAAAGCCACGCAGGUCCGUUCUGGAACGACUAAAGAAGACUGGCAAUCCGCCAAUCGCACUAAUCCGGAAGAUGCCCAGAAAAAAUUGAAAAGAAAGAACCACGGCAAGAAAAAAGAAAACGAUAAACGGCAGGUAGUUGUUAAUGCUCCAGUUCAGGCUGGCCUUCAGAGGAGAGGUCGACAACGGACAGAUCAAGGUGAGAGAGUUAAACGCCAACUGCACGGUCGUCGUGAAUUCCCCGAUCAGCCGUUCCGGCGCUGUGGAGACGAUGGCAAAUGGAAGGGCAAGUUAGGAUUCUGUCAAGCUCUCACAUGCCCGCCACUAACUAAACCAGCCAACGGAAGCGUCAGUCCGCUUUCAUGCGCAACUGGCGACGCCGCACCCAAUCAGCUCUGCUACUUCACAUGCGAAACGGGCUUCCGCGUCACGGGUAAUCCCGUCCGCACUUGCUUGCCCAGCCUGAAAUGGAAUCCUCUCAGACCGCCGCCUGCCUGUGAAAAAGCUUCUGCCAAGGGUAACAAACAAGCCAAAAAACCGCGGCUCAAUGCGAUCGACGUAACAGUCCCCAACAAGACGAAGACGGCAGGUGCUGCCAUCUAUGAGACGCCGACUGAACUUGACUGGUCCCCAAAACCAAAACACAAACAACCCAAUCCUUCAACUACCCAACGUACAAAAGAAUCGCCUAGUCAACCGAAAUUCGAAUUCGAAGUUGAUUACAAACAGCCAACUCCACUCAUUGGUGUACCCCGUGUUGAACUUUUCCCGUCCAAAGUUGUCGAUCGCAACUAUUUUCAAUUAGCUUCAGUCCAUCCGUGGCCGCGUAUCGAGUGCCCCAAGGAUAUGACCAUUGAUCUUCCACCGGGCAAGAGGAGCACCGAGGUCUUAAUCCCUCAACCGGCCACCAAUGUCGAUUACGUCAGCCACGUCGAAGCUGAGCCCAGUUGGGCAAAGAAGUUGCGCGCAGAAUUGGGGCCUAUUCGCAUGGUGAUAUCGUUCAGAGCCAGAAAUCCGGCGACGGAAUACACGGCUAUCUGCUCGUUUGUCCUAGAAGUUCGAGGUACAUCACAUACUUCGUGUCAUGCAUUUGUCCCGGCGGACAGUGCUCCUGUCAUUAGGAAAACACACACAGGGAAGCACCCACGGUGAAGAAUUGCCCGCACGACAUCCACGUCCGCCUCAGCUCGUUGGAACCGUACGCCAACGCUCCGUGGACCGACCCCGUUUUCAACGACAACAUUGCCGUCACGCACGUCAUCAAAUCCAAAGAACCCAAUUCGCUGUUUGCUUUGGGGGAACACGUCGUUUCUUACACUGCGUCGGACGCAGCUGGCAAUACCGCUCGUUGCCAAUUCACCGUCCAUGUUUCAC
rnacentral:misc_RNA from 1 species